UACGUAGGUGACAAGCGUUGUCCGGAUUUACUGGGCGUAAAGAGCGCGCAGGCGGUCGUUCAAGUCGAGUGUGAAAGCCCCCGGCUCAACUGGGGAGGGUCACUCGAUACUGAUCGACUCGAAGGCAGGAGAGGGUAGUGGAAUUCCCGGUGUAGUGGUGAAAUGCGUAGAUAUCGGGAGGAACACCAGUGGCGAAGGGCGACUACCUGGCCUGUUCUUUGACGCUGAGGCGCGAAAGCUAGGGGAGCAAACGGGG
rnacentral:rRNA from 1 species